GGAGACGUAUCGAAGUGGUCAUAACGGGGCUGACUCGAAAUCAGUUAGGGCUUUGCCCCCGCGAGUUCGAAUCUCGCCGUCUCCGCCA
rnacentral:tRNA from 2 species